GACGAACGCUGGCGGCGUGCUUAACACAUGCAAGUGGAGCGACGAACCAGGGCUUGCCCUGGGGCAGAGCCGCGAACGGGUGAGUAACACGUGGGUAACCUGCCCAGAUGACCGGGACAACCCGAGGAAACUCGGGCUAAUACCGGAUGUGCUGUCUUCACAUCAGUGAGGCCAGGAAAGGUAGCUUCGGCUUCCGCACCUGGAUGGGCCCGCGGCCCAUUAGCUUGUUGGGAGGUAACGGCUCACCAAGGCUUCGAUGGGUAGCUGGUCUGAGAGGACGAUCAGCCACACUGGGACUGAGACACGGCCCAGACUCCUACGGGAGGCAGCAGUGGGAAUCUUGCGCAAUGCGCGAAAGCGUGACGCAGCAACGCCGCGUGCGGGAAGAAGGCCUGG
rnacentral:rRNA from 1 species